GCGCCCUUAGCUCAGUUGGAUAGAGCAACGACCUUCUAAGUCGUGGGCCGCAGGUUCGAAUCCUGCAGGGCGCGCAA
rnacentral:tRNA from 1 species